rnacentral:rRNA from 1 species
GACGAACGCUGGCGGCGUGCUUAACACAUGCAAGUCGAACGGAAAGGCCCUGCUUUUGUGGGGUGCUCGAGUGGCGAACGGGUGAGUAACACGUGAGUAACCUGCCCUUGACUUUGGGAUAACUUCAGGAAACUGGGGCUAAUACCGGAUAGGAGCUCCUGCUGCAUGGUGGGGGUGGGAAAGUUUCGGCGGGUGGGGAUGGACUCGCGGCUUAUCAGCUUGUUGGUGGGGUAGUGGCUUACCAAGGCUUUGACGGGUAGCCGGCCUGAGAGGGUGACCGGCGACAUUGGGACUGAGAUACGGCCCAGACGCCUACGGGAGGCAGCAGUGGGGAAUAUUGCACAAUGGGCGGAAGCCUGAUGCAGAAACGCCGCGUGCGGGAUGACGGCCUUCGGGUUGUAAACCGCUUUCGCCUGUGACGAAGCGUGAGUGACGGUAAUGGGUAAAGAAGCACCGGCUAACUACGUG